rnacentral:pre_miRNA from 1 species
AAUAAGUGAAUCAGGGGGACAGGUUACCAUUAUUCAGAUGAAUAAUGGUAACCUGUCCCCCUGAUUCACCCCUG